GGUGCAAGGUACGGCUCCCAGGCAUCGACGGGUAGCUGGUCUGAGAGGAUGAUCAGCCACACUGGGACUGAGACACGGCCCAGACUCCUACGGGAGGCAGCAGUGGGGAAUCUUGCGCAAUGGGCGAAAGCCUGACGCAGCAACGCCGCGUGCGGGAAGAAGGCUCUCGGGUUGUAAACCGCUUUCAGCAGGAACGAAAAUGACGGUACUUGCAGAAGAAGGUGCGGCCAACUACGUGCCAGAGCCGCGGCCGA
rnacentral:rRNA from 1 species